rnacentral:misc_RNA from 1 species
GGAAAAUGAGUAACUGCAUAGAGUAGAUAUAUAUACUUGAAACAAGUUGAUGUUAACCAAAGGCUAAACAAGUACGAAACAGACAUAAGAUUCCGUCUUUUAGAGGAAAGAUAACGCGAGAAGAACGAAUUUACAUGUUCUUUUCUAGUAAGAGUUAUUUACAGGCAGAGAGGUUUGACUGCAUUUUCAAAAGGAUCCAAAUGUAUUCUCUCCACUGUAGGUCAUGUACAGGAAGCCGUCCUCAUCCUUGUGUUCCUCAUAAAUGGCAGACAUCAUGGCAGCUGUAGGGGGGAGGAUAUUCUUCACAAAGAUAAAAAUGGCCUUCUCAGCGCUGAGCUUAAUCCUCUUGCGAACAACAUACACAAAUUGUCCAACAGUCAGAUCCGCGGGAACCAAAUACUUUUUCUUGUCAAUGUCAGGGAUGUCACUUCUUUCAGCCUUCUCAACAAUCACCGGUAUUCUAUCAGGGUACUUCUCCCUGAUACGAGCAGCUUCAGCCUGUCGCCUCUCAAGAGGGUGUUCCAAUUUGAAGGAGCUUUUGGCCAUGGUGAUCUGAGAAUGAUCUAACAAAAAAAUUGGGGUAUACAAACAAAUCACAAAAAGAGUGGAAAACGCAUCCAAAAUUUUCUCUUUGUUUAUAUAAAAUAAAAAUAAAUUGCUCUAUAUAAUUGGGGAUAAUAUUUC